AUUGAACGCUGGCGGAAUGCUUUACACAUGCAAGUCGAACGGUAGAGGGGGCAAUCCCUUGAGAGUGGCGAACGGGUGAGUAAUAUAUCGGAACGUGCCCAGUCGUGGGGGAUAACGUAGCGAAAGUUACGCUAAUACCGCAUACGAUCUACGGAUGAAAGCGGGGGGACUCGCAAGAGCCUCGCGCGAUUGGAGCGGCCGAUAUCAGAUUAGGUAGUUGGUGGGGGUAAAGGCUCACCAAGCCAACGAUCUGUAGCUGGUCUGAGAGGACGACCAGCCACACUGGAACUGAGACACGGUCCAGACU
rnacentral:rRNA from 1 species